AUGUACCCACGUACAUUCCGGUUCCUGCGCGCCGCCCACGCCCACCUCGCGACCGCUCGCUACGUUCUGUUGGCG
rnacentral:sRNA from 2 species